GUGGAUGUAGCUCAGGGGUAGAGUCCAAGAUUGUGGAUCUUGUCGUCGCGGGUUCGAAACCCGUCAUCCACC
rnacentral:tRNA from 1 species